AUUGAACGCUGGCGGCAGGCCUAACACAUGCAAGUCGGGCGAGCAGCGGACUGGUGAGUAAUUUAUGGGGAUCUGCCUGAUGUAGGGGGAUAACUACUGGAAAAGGUAGCAACUACCGCAUACCAUCAUUUGAACCCAUAUGGGAUUAGCUGGUAGGUAAGUGAACGGCGUACCUAGGCGACGCUCCCUAGCUGGUCUGAGAGGAUGAUCAGCCACACUGGGACUGAGACACGGCCCAGACUCCUACGGGAGGCAGCAGUAGGGAAUCUUGAGCAAUGGGCGCAAGCCUGAUGGAGCAAUGCCGCGUGUGUGAAGAAGGUUUUCGGGUCGUAAAGUACUGUCAUUCGGGAGGCGGUACCGAAACAAGAAGCAACGGCUAACUACGUGCCAGCAGCCGCGGUAAUAC
rnacentral:rRNA from 1 species